GGCGGAGUCUGCCUUUGGGCGGGGUCAAAAGUCGUGACGUCUCAGCUGCUGGGCGUUUCACAGGCUGCGGACUUCAGCUUGGGGUUUCCUAGCUACUCUGUGCUUAGCUGAACAGUGUUAUCACGCUAUCUACCAGCUCCUAUCACCGUUACCAAUAAAAUGGCUGUGUUACAGACUUUGGCUUCCCUUUCUAUGUGUCUAAUUUUAUAUUAAUAUGAAAGGGUGGUUUUACGUUGCUUGUUUAGUCCGCAAAAUGUAGUAGAAGCAGCGCUAUGAAUUGAAUGGCUGACCAUGUAGCUAUACAGCUGCUUAUUAUAUAAACCCGGGAUCCCCAACCUUUUUCUUGUGAGCCAAACACAGAUGUAAGAAGUGUUGGUGAGCCACACAAGUAUAAAAGUUCCUCGAGAAUGCUAAAUAAGGACUGUGAUUGGCUAUUUGGUAGCCCCAUGUGCGCUGCUAGCCAGCAGGAGGCUCUGCUUUAAGGAAA